GCCCGGUUGGUCUAGUGGUAUGAUUGUCGCUUCGGGAGCCAUCCCCCAAACGGAUUGAAAUCUUGGUAUGUGACAGGUCUCCGGUUCGAUCCCGGAAUCGGGCC
rnacentral:tRNA from 1 species